rnacentral:rRNA from 1 species
UACAGAGGGUGCAAGCGUUAAUCGGAAUUACUGGGCGUAAAGCGUGCGUAGUCGGUUAUCUAAGUCGGGUGUGAAAUCCCCGGGCUCAACCUGGGAAUUGCAUUCGAUACUGGAUAGCUAGAGUUCGGCAGAGGGAAGCGGAAUUUCGGGUGUAGCGGUGAAAUGCGUAGAUAUCCGAAGGAACAUCAGUGGCGAAAGCGGCUUCCUGGACCAGAACUGACGCUGAGGCGCGAAAGCUCGGGGAGCGAACGGG